rnacentral:ncRNA from 1 species
GAGUACUACUCGCAACUGCCUAAAACUCAAAGGACUUGGCGGUGCUUCACAUCCACCUAGAGGAGCCUGUUCUAUAAUCGAUAAACCCCGAUAGACCUUACCAACCCUUGCCAAUUCAGCCUAUAUACCGCCAUCUUCAGCAAACCCUAAAAAGGAACAAUAGUAAGCACAAUCAUAACACAUAAAAACGUUAGGUCAAGGUGUAGCUUAUGGGUUGGAAAGAAAUGGGCUACAUUUUCUACAUAAGAAUAUCCACCAUACGAAAGUUUUUAUGAAACUAAAAACCAAAGGAGGAUUUAGCAGUAAAUCAAGAAUAGAGUGCUUGAUUGAAUAAGGCCAUGAAGCACGCACACACCGCCCGUCACCCUCCUCAAGCAUGUAGUAAUAAAAAUAACCUAUAUUCAAUUACACAACCAUGCAAGAAGAGACAAGUCGUAACAAGGUAAGCAUACUGGAAAGUGUGCUUG